AGCUCGAUUGGUGCAAUAGUUCGUGAGAUAUGACAAAAUGUUGGAAAAAACUUAUUUUUGCACAUUGCAGCAAAUAGCAAAAAAAAGUUUUUUCCAACAUUUUGUCAUAUCUCACGAACUAUUGCACCAAUCGAGCU